UCAGUAACACGUGAUCAACUUACCCUAUGGAGAGAAAUAACUUCGGGAAACUGAAGAUAAUCUCUCAUAGUUGAAAAUGCCUGGAAGGGUUUUUCAACAAAAGAACAUUUCGAAUGGGAAAUGUUUCGCCAUAGGAUAGGAUCGCGCCCGAUUAUGGCUGUUGGUGAGGUAAUGGCUCACCAAACCUAUUAUCGGUAAGGGCCGUGAGAGCGGAAGCCCUGAGAUGGGUACUGAGACAAUGACCCAGGUCUUACGAGACGCAGCAGGCGCGAAAUCUUCACAAUGCACGAAAGUGAGAUGAGGUCACCCGGAGUGCUACAUAGUAGCUGUGGUAGGUGAGUAAGAUUCCCUACUAGGAAGGAGAGGGCAAGGCUGGUGCCAGCCGCCGCGGUAAUUAGCCGUAUCAGUGCCGUAGGGAAACCUUCGCCCGCUCCUGGGGAGUACGGUCGCAAGGCUGAAACUUAAAGGAA
rnacentral:rRNA from 1 species